CCAAGUCAAGUCACUGAAGUGACUUGAGUCCAACCUGAGUCUGAGUCAAUUCACUCGAGUCUACAUCACUGAAAAGACCAAAACUCAGGUUGACAGCUUGCCUCAACAAAUUUCCAGGGACUUCAUAGAGCAGUACCUGAAGAUCAGAUCAAGUUCAAAACUCUCCACGAGGAAUGGUCUGUUCAUCCCUAGAUACUGCUGCAGUGACUAAAGAAGGCAUCUCUCCUCUGAAUGCCUGUCUUGAUG